UACGUAGGGCGCGAGCGUUGUCCGGAAUUAUUGGGCGUAAAGAGCUCGUAGGCGGCCUGUCGCGUCGGUUGUGAAAGCCCGGGGCUCAACCCCGGGUCUGCAGUCGAUACGGGCAGGCUAGAGUUCGGCAGGGGAGACUGGAAUUCCUGGUGUAGCGGUGAAAUGCGCAGAUAUCAGGAGGAACACCGGUGGCGAAGGCGGGUCUCUGGGCCGAUACUGACGCUGAGGAGCGAAAGCGUGGGGAGCGAACAGG
rnacentral:rRNA from 1 species